rnacentral:rRNA from 1 species
CGGGUUCGUUCGGGCUUCCUUUAAUUUUAAACCCUUUACUAAAUACUGAUUAUACUGUGGGGACGAAAGUCUCUGCUUUUAACUAGAUAGCAACUUUCAGCAGUGGAUGUCUAGGCUCGCACAUCGAUGAAGGACGCUGCGAACUGCGAUACGUAAUGCGAAUUGCAGGAUUCAGUGAGUCAUCGAAAUUUUGAACGCAUAUUGCACUUCCGGGUUAUGCCUGGGAGUAUGUCUGUAUCAGUGUCCGUA